CUGCCCAAUGAGAAGUUGAAUGGCCGCGGUAUUUUGACCGUGCAAAGGUAGCAUAAUCAUUAGUUUUUUAAUUGAAAGCUGGAAUGAACGGUUGGACGAGAAAAUAACUGUCUCAAUUUAAUUGAAUUAGAAUUUUAUUUAUAAGUAAAAAAGCUUAUAUGAGUUUAAAAGACGAGAAGACCCUAUAGAGUUUUAUAUUUAUAUUAUUAUAUUAUUUUUAGAAUAAUUAGAUUUUAUAUUAUAUAUAAAUAUUAUACUGGGGCGGUAGGGAAAUUAAGUAAACUUUCUUUAUAUUAUAACAUUGAUUUAUGGUUAUUUGAUCCAAUUAUUUUGAUUGUAAGAUUAAGUUACCUUAGGGAUAACAGCGUAAUUUUUUUUUAGAGUUCUUAUCGAAAAAAGAGUUUGCGACCUCGAUGUUGGAUUAAAAUUAACUUUUGGUGCAGGGGCUAAAAGGUUAGGUCUGUUCGACCUUUAAAAUUUUACAUGAUCUGAGUUUAAACCGGCGUGAGCCAGGUUGGUUUCUAUCUUUAAAUUUAAGUAGGUAUUUUAGUACGAAAGGAUUAAGUACUUAUAAUAGUUAUUAUGAAUUGAAUAUUAUUAUU
rnacentral:rRNA from 1 species